UGGGGAAUUUUGGACAAUGGGCGAAAGCCUGAUCCAGCAAUGCCGCGUGUGUGAAGAAGGCCUUCGGGUUGUAAAGCACUUUUGUCCGGAAAGAAAUCCUUGGCUCUAAUACAGUCGGGGGAUGACGGUACCGGAAGAAUAAGCACCGGCUAACUACGUGCCAGCAGCCGCGGUAAUACGUAGGGUGCAAGCGUUAAUCGGAAUUACUGGGCGUAAAGCGUGCGCAGGCGGUUUGCUAAGACCGAUGUGAAAUCCCCGGGCUCAACCUGGGAACUGCAUUGGUGACUGGCAGGCUAGAGUAUGGCAGAGGGGGGUAGAAUUCCACGUGUAGCAGUGAAAUGCGUAGAGAUGUGGAGGAAUACCGAUGGCGAAGGCAGCCCCCUGGGCCAAUACUGACGCUCAUGCACGGAAGCGUGGGGAGCAAAACAGGAUUAGAUACCCUGGUAGUCCACGCCCUAAAACGAUGUCAACUAGUUGUUGGGGGAUUCAUUUCCUUAGUAACGUAGCUAACGCGUGAAGUUGACCGCCU
rnacentral:rRNA from 1 species